AACGCUGGCGGCGUGCCUAACACAUGCAAGUCAACUUGACUGAAGGAGCAAUCUGACAGUAGAGUGGCGCAAGGGUGCGUAACGCGUAAGUAACUUGCCCCAAGGUAAGGAAUAACGUCGAGAAAUCGGCGCUAAUACCUCAUAAUGCAGCGGAUCCGCAUGGAUAUGUUGUUAAAGGUUUACCGCCUUGGGAUAGGCUUGCGUCUGAUUAGCUAGUUGGUGUGGUAACGGCACACCAAGGCUACGAUCAGUAACUGGUCUGAGAGGAUGAUCAGUCACACUGGAACUGAGACACGGUCCAGACUCCUACGGGAGGCAGCAGUGAGGAAUAUUGGGCAAUGCUCGAAAGAGUGACCCAGCAACGCCGCGUGGAGGAUGAAGGUAUUCUAUAUCGUAAACUCCUGUGAGAGCAGACGAAAGACAGAUUAUUAAUCUGGAUGACUGUAUGCUCAGAGGAAGCCCCGGCUAACUACGUG
rnacentral:rRNA from 1 species